rnacentral:rRNA from 1 species
GGGUUGUGAGGUUAAGCGACUAAGCGUACACGGUGGAUGCCCUGGCAGUCAGAGGCGAUGAAGGACGUGCUAAUCUGCGAUAAGCGCCGGUAAGGUGAUAUGAACCGUUAUAACCGGCGAUUUCCGAAUGGGGAAACCCAGUGUGAUUCGUCACACUAUCAUUAACUGAAUCCAUAGGUUAAUGAGGCGAACCGGGGGAACUGAA